GGUUAAAUUGGGUAAGAAUUAAUUGAUGGAAUUUGGCAAAAGUUGGAAAGGUUUCGGAUUUAUAUUUUAGGGGGUAAACCCACACGAAGUGUGAGAAAUUGUCAAUUAGCACCAUGUAAUAUUUAUAUCCUGUUUUACUCGUGAUUGGCGAAGUCCAUAAAUCGCAAUGAAUAAUAUCAAAAGGAGCAAAAGUAAAUGUAUUAGACGAAUAAAACGGUAAUCUUUUACUAUUCGAAAGUUGACAAGAAUUGCAAAGAUUGUGACUUUUGUCCUUAUUACAUUGAAAAUUAAAAUUACGAUUUAAAAUAUCUAGAACUUGCGCCCCGGGAUGUCCUAAACGAUCAUGCCAAGGUAGAUGGUGGGAAGCAAUAAAGGUGGCUUGAGGCGGCAGUUGAGGCGGCGUGAACGUGUAAAGAGUCCCGGUACUAUUGUGGCGAGAUAGUGUCUUCUUAGUUUUGAGGUCCUUCAAAGAAAAACCAAACGGGUCAAAUUCGACAGACACUUGAUUAUCACGAGUAAAACGUCUAACGGAAAUAAGAUUUUUAAUUAUUUGAGGGCUAUAAAGGACGUUUGGGAGUAUGUAGGUUCGGUUUGGUAAAGGGUGAAAACCCGUACCUGAUCCUUUAAUUGGUAAAUACAUGCCAUUACCGACCAAAAUAUUACGACAAAUAGGAGAAGAAUCAGGGAUUAUGAUUUUACCUUGCUCUUUAGUGACGUGUGACUCGGCUCCUGUAUCCAUAACAUCGGAGUUCCAAGCGAAGUUCGAACCAUUAACCUGCAUAUUUGCCAUGGCAGCACUCAAAUCAGUUGGGCAGAGGGGAUUGUAGGCGGGCUGCGAGAACCCGGGUGGAGCAAACUGGGCCGCGGCAUAACCCGCAGCCGGAGUGAACCCGGUAAACUGGGCCUGCUGGGCCGAAGACUGAUCUGGUUGCUUGUUGCUGGGCCACGACUGUUGGGUCGGGUAGGGGCAAGGUGGAGGUGUCCACCAAGCCCACGUCGGAAAAGAAGGCUGCUGCGGCUGACCUGGAUAAGCGGACCAUGGGGAUUGCUGCGACCGACCCCUGCCCCUGCCUCGGCGGUUUGAAGCCCCGCCCCUGCCUCUGCUGCCGCGGCGAUUUGUGGACGAAUACGAGGCUUCAGAGGGCUGGUUGCUAUUGGAAGAGUGCUGAUUAGUUGAAGUUGGCGCUGUAGUAGCAGCUAGGACAGUGUGCGAUGCACCCUUUUGAGCCUCGAUACGGAUGACUUCGUCAUUAAGCAUGACGAUGGCCUGGUCCCAAUCAACGCCCUGCUGAUUAAUCAGGGAUGCAGUAGUGUUAUACUCGGCUGGAAGUCCGCGAACCAGCUGAAGAACAAGUCUGGAUUCGGUGACAGGCUGAUCAACGUCGGCCAAUUGGCUUGCUAAAUCAGACAGCUGUUGACAAUAGUCGUCAACCGAGGAGCAAGCUGUGAGAGUAAGAUUGCAAAACUUCGUCUCGAGCGCCGCAGCGCGAGCCUUUUUGUUGCUCAAAAAAAUCUUUUCGAGCUUCGUCCAUGCUGCUUUGGCUACAGUUGUAUCCAUGAGCCGUUUCAGAAGAUCAUCCGAAACGGUGCUGUAGAUCCACUGAAGAACCAAGGCAUCCAGUUCCUUCCAUUCAUCAUAUUCGGGUGAUGUAGUGGCUGGAGCGGCUGAAUCAUCGAUGUGGUUUGACACCUUAUAUGCGACGGCAUGAAGGCGAAACAGUUUGACCCAGGCAGUAUAAGUAACCUUCGAUCCGUCCAAAGUACGGAUCUUGGAUUGAAUGUUCGAUACAGAGUAUGCGGGGUGGAGGGAGUUGGGUUUGGUUGAUGAAUCAGCAGUGUCUUCUUUUGGCGGCAUGGUGACGAGACCGAACGAGUCCGGUUAGGGUUGUUGGACGGAAAAAACGAAGGGUAAAACGAGACCGAACGAGUCCGGUUAGGGUUGUUGGACGGAAAAAAAAAAAAACGAAGGGCAAAAGGCAAUCAGAAGCCGGUUAUGGCUCUGAUACCAUAACAGCAAAUAUGGUUGAUAAAGUGAAUGAAUAUUAUUGAUAAACAAGAGCCCUAUAUAUAGGGAGUCAUACAACCAAUAAUAAGGAAAGGAUAUAUACAAAUAAUACAAAAGAUUAUCUCUAACUAAUCAUAACAAUCUAUUCCUAAAAUAAUGAUAAUAAUCGGCUGGCUAAGACUUAGAUGAGUUUCAUCUUCAACCCCAAAUGUAUGAACCACGCUAUCCACCUUGAUUGAGCUAAACCCAAAUGGUUUCUUGAUGUUUUUCUUCACCAUCGUCUUCCAAACCGCUGCCGCAUCCUUCAACCGUCCCCAUAUAUCUUAGCCAAAGUUACAUACCGGCCACCACUAUUUGGAUCUAAAAUAAACAACUUCUGUGCAACAACUUCAGCAAGUUCAAUAUUAUUAUGCAUUCUACACGCACCAAGAAGAGCGCCAUACACAUCCUUGCUAGGUAACACAGGCAUCGAUUUCACAAACUCAACCGCUUCCAUCAGAUCAACCAUACAAGCGUAAUGUUCAUGACCUCUCCCCACACCAUAAACUUCCAUUUGUUUGAAAAUCUCACUGCCUUUCGAAACUAACCCUGCAUGACUACACGUUGAUAGCAAGCAUAAAAACACAACCCCAUCGGGCUGGAACCCGCCCUCCAAAAAGUUUGAGAAAAGAGUAAGCGCUUUGUGUGGGUUCCCAUGCAUGCCAUACGCCCUCAUCAUAGCGGUCCAUACCAUAAUAUUUCUUUCAGAUAUUUGAUCGAACACCUGGCGUGCAUAGUCCAAGUGUCCAGAGUUGCCAUACAUAGCGAUAAGACCGCUUCCCACCAUAGCAUCGUUUGUCAAACCUGUUUUUAUGGCAUAACAAUGAAUCCAAAACCCUAGUCGAACUUCUGCUACUUGAGCACAAGCGGGAAGAAUGCUAACAAGAGUUGCAUGGUCUGGUGUGCUACAAGAUGAUUCAUUCAUCAUGUAGAAAAGUAUGAAAAAGAUCAAGCGCUUCAAUAGCGCGGUCAUUGCUAGCGCAUCCAGAUAUAACCGUAUUCCAACUAACAACAUCCUUAUCAGGAAUCUCAUCAAACACCCUCCUACAUGCCUCUAUCAUUUGACACUUAGCAUAUAAAGCUACAAGAGCAGUUGUUUCGUUUUUAAUAACGCUACAUUGUAAACAAAACCAGUUUUAACCACAUGCCCAUGGAUCACACGACCAGUUGUUUCGUUUUUAAUAACGCUACAUGCCUUUAGCGUGAACGUAAACGUGUACUUGUCAAAGGCCACAUCAUUUUCACACAUCUCCUUAUACACAUUCAAGGCUUCAGUAGACAACCCAGAAUUCGCAUAAGUUUGAAUCAUCAUGUUCCAUAAGAAAACAUGCAUUUUAUGGAACACCUUACGUGCAUAGUUCAUGUGCAGCUGAUCCAGGCCAGCGUACAUGUUAAUAAGCUUAGACCCAAUAAAGACAUUUUGGCCGUAACCUCCAGUGAUGAUCUUAGCAUGCAUUUUGUGAAUGCAUCUUAUACUACCCUCACAUUCAGUUCAUGUGAAUCUUUCUUUGAGUUGAAUGAUAUGAAGCAUCUGACAAAAGCAAGACUUUGUGGGCAUGUGUUGGAAAGUGGAAAGAGCCCAUUUUGGUAUCUUUUUUAAGUUGAGUAGCAGCAUUCUUCCUACAAAUUACCACCAUGUAUAUCAGUAUAUCUAUCUAUCUAUCUAGCUGAUUAUUAUUAUUGUAAUAACAAUUUGGGAGACGAACUGGAUAGGGGGCAGGAAUCACCAAGUUGUUGUGAGGCAGAAUGAAACAGUGUAGGGUUUUAUGCUACGGAACAAGUGUAAAGGAAAUUAGGGAUGAGAGAUUCACCGAGAGUUAUCAAAAACCGCCAUCUGUUAAUUGAUUGGAGAAGUGUAUGGGCAUGUAUGUUUGGCUAAGCUUUUUAAACCAACUUAUUGGCUUUAUCAAAAAGUCAAUAAGUUAAAAUAUUGUUUGCCAUGGACUUUUUUAUGUUCUCACUUGGUGGAGAACUCGAUCAGUAUGCAUAUCAUCUUUUAUUUAAAAUUAUUCUUACAAUUCACAACUGAUAACACCAUCUGUUAUGAACCAUGCUCGCCCUACCUAACAGCCCGUUCAAGAAAACCGGUCCAUUGAAUCAUGAAGAAAUCAUCGCAGAUACGAAGAUUAAGAAAAUGGUCGUCAAGAAGAAUGAACUUAACGAUCUGAUUUCUCAUCUCCUUUCUCUCUCUCUGUAAUUCUUUCUAUUUCCCAUCCCAUUCCUGUAACCAAUUUCUUAUGAAUUAGUAACAAUAUGAACUGAUAGAUCUUGUGGGUGAUUGUUUAUAGCUUUCAUUGAAUCACUUCAUCAUCUAACUGUCACAGUUCAUCCGGAUGAUGACAGAAACCCCAUGCAUAUCCUUUCUGUAAAGGAAAAAUUACAAGUUGUCCUUUAUCUAUAUACCACUUUUCAGGUUUAUGAGAAACUUGGUGCUUCUGAUCAGAAUGGGAAUGUAACUUAGAAAGGGGCUGUGUGGUAGUAGUAGUAGUAGUAGCAGUUGCUACCGCAAAAGGUUCUAAAGUCUGUGCCUUUUUGAACCGUUGAAGACCUGUUCUGCCAUACAUGGUUUUCUGCAACAAAUUGCU
rnacentral:lncRNA from 1 species